GGGGAUGUUUGGUUUCGACAGAUCGUACUUUUAAAAUAGGCAAGCCGAGCAAGAUGCUGUCUCGUUAAUCCACUAUCAAACGUUAUAAAUGCAAACUUUAUAACCAAAGCUAAGACCGCGAUCGCUUCGGCGUUUGCUCCGUCUUACGCUUACGCUUUAGCUUAAUCGCUUUAGCCAUCAGACUGUCGACGCCCCAUAGACAGACCCUGGUGCCAAAUAUAGGGCUAGCUGGGAUUGUCUUUUUCGAGCAAUUUUAGUAAAAUUAAUUCGAGAAUAGGUUGAGGUAAUUUUGUCUGUUUCUAUCCUCAGCCAAAACUACCAAACAGGCUAAGCUUGUAGAUUAUUUUUUUAGAAUGAUUUUGGACGCGAGUUCGAUUCUCGCCAUCUCCACAU
rnacentral:tmRNA from 1 species